UACGGAGGAUUCAAGCGUUAUCCGGAUUUAUUGGGUUUAAAGGGUGCGUAGGCGGUCGGAUAAGUUAGAGGUGAAAUCCCGAGGCUCAACUUCGGAAUUGCCUCUGAUACUGUUCGGCUAGAGAGUAGUUGCGGUAGGCGGAAUGUGUGGUGUAGCGGUGAAAUGCAUAGAGAUCACACAGAACACCGAUUGCGAAGGCAGCUUACAAAUCUAUAUCGGACGCUGAGGCACGAAAGCGUGGGGAGCAAACAGG
rnacentral:rRNA from 1 species